UACGUAGGGGGCUAGCGUUGUCCGGAUUUAUUGGGCGUAAAGAGCGUGUAGGCGGCCAGGUAGGUCUGCUGUGAAAACUCGAGGCUCAACCUCGAGACGUCGGCGGAAACCAUCUGGCUAGAGUCCGGAAGAGGAGAGUGGAAUUCCUGGUGUAGCGGUGAAAUGCGCAGAUAUCAGGAAGAACACCCGUGGCUAAGGCGGCUCUCUAGUACGGUACUGACGCUGAGGUGCGAAAGCGUGGGUAGCAAACAGG
rnacentral:rRNA from 1 species